rnacentral:rRNA from 1 species
UACAGAGGUCCCAAGCGUUGUUCGGAUUCAUUGGGCGUAAAGGGUGCGUAGGCGGCGCGGUAAGUCGGGUGUGAAAUCUCGGAGCUUAACUCCGAAACUGCAUUCGAUACUGCCGUGCUUGAGGACUGGAGAGGAGACUGGAAUUUACGGUGUAGCGGUGAAAAUGCGUAGAUAUCGUAAGGAAGACCAGUGGCGAAGGCGGGGUCUCUGGACAGUUCCUGACGCUGAGGCACGAAGGCCAGGGGAGCAAACGGG